rnacentral:rRNA from 1 species
UCAAUAAGCGGAGGAAAAGAAACUAACAAGGAUUCCCCUAGUAACGGCGAGUGAACCGGGAACGAGCUCAAAUUUGUAAUCUGGCGUGCUCCGUGCGUCCGAGUUGUAAUCUACAGAAGCGUUUUCUGUGCCGGACUGUGUCCAAGUCCCUUGGAACAGGGUAUCAAAGAGGGUGACAAUCCCGUGCUUGACACAACGACCGGUGCUUUGUGAUACGUUUUCUACGAGUCGAGUUGUUUGGGAAUGCAGCUCAAAAUGGGUGGUAAAUUCCAUCUAAAGCUAAAUAUUGGCGAGAGACCGAUAGUGAACAAGUACCGUGAGGGAAAGAUGAAAAGCACUUUGGAAAGAGAGUUAAACAGUACGUGAAAUUGUUGAAAGGGAAACGAUUGAAGUCAGUCGUGUCUAUUGGAUUCAGCCGGUUCUGCCGGUCUACUUCCUUUGGACGGGUCAACAUCAGUUAAAAUCGGUGGAAAAGGGCUGGAGGAAGGUAGCUCUCACGAGUGUUAUAGCCUCCUGUCGCAUACACUGGCCUUGACUGAGGAAUGCAGCUCGCCGCAAGGCAGGGGUUCGCCCACUUACGAGCUUAGGAUGUUGACAUAAUGGCUUUAAGCCACCCGUCUUGAGACAUCGGGACA